rnacentral:lncRNA from 1 species
AUACUAGAUCAACUCUUUGAAGCUAAUAGGCCAUUCUGAGAGGUACUUCAAUGAACUCUGUGGAUGCAUCAUUUUUCUCAGUUAGCUCAGUCUUUGCACUGAACACCUUUCCACAAGAGAAACAAGUCUGAUAUCUCACGGACAUGCAACACUCAGAGGCAAUCAGAAACUGAAUUGCAAAGUGAUAUUUUGCAAGAUUUCCUAUUAUUUUCUCAUUUGGACUGACCCUGUACUAAGGCAUUAUAAAGGCAAUCAACUACAACUCUCAUCACAUGCUUCCCUUACUCUACUCUCUUAAAGACAUGAAACAGUAAGAAGACUUGUCUGCUUUCUGCAGGUGCAGAGGACCAGCUGAACACACAACAGCCUCCCCACCCCCCCUCGUAUCCUUCCUAUCAGCAUACACAAUGAUCACCAGUUAUUAUGCAUAAUUACAUAGUUGCAUGUAUUAAAUGUUGUUAUAUUGCAUGACAGCAUAUUUUAACAGCUAGGAAUUUACAUCUCAAAACUCUUAUAGGUAUUUUACUGACAUUUUGAAAAGCAACAUCUUUUUC